rnacentral:rRNA from 1 species
GAUCAUGGCUCAGGAUGAACGCUGGCGGCGUGCUUAACACAUGCAAGUCGAACGAAGCACUUUAAUCGAUUUCUUCGGAUUGAAAUUUUAGUGACUGAGUGGCGGACGGGUGAGUAACGCGUGGGUAACCUGCCUUGUACAGGGGGAUAACAGUCAGAAAUGACUGCUAAUACCGCAUAAGCGCACAGGACCGCAUGGUCCGGUGUGAAAAACUCCGGUGGUAUAAGAUGGACCCGCGUUGGAUUAG